rnacentral:rRNA from 1 species
UACGGGGGGGGCAAGCGUUGUUCGGAAUUACUGGGCGUAAAGGGCGCGUAGGCGGCCUGCUAAGUCGGACGUGAAAUCCCUCGGCUCAACCGGGGAACUGCGUCCGAUACUGGUGGGCUUGAAUCCGGGAGAGGGAUGUGGAAUUCCAGGUGUAGCGGUGAAAUGCGUAGAUAUCUGGAGGAACACCGGUGGCGAAGGCGGCAUCCUGGACCGGUAUUGACGCUGAUGCGCGAAAGCCAGGGGAGCAAACGGG